rnacentral:rRNA from 1 species
AUNGUUUCCGUAGGUGAACCUGCGGAAGGAUCAUUAUCAAUAUCAGCGGGCUUCGGCCCCUGCUAUACCCUUGUCUUUUGCGUACCACUUGUUUCCUCGGCGGGCUUGCCUGCCGAUAGGACAAACACAAACCCUUUGUAGUUGCAAUCAGCGUCAGAAAAAAACAAUAAUUAAAACUUUCAACAACGGAUCUCUUGGUUCUGGCAUCGAUGAAGAACGCAGCGAAAUGCGAAAAGUAGUGUGAAUUGCAGAAUUCAGUGAAUCAUCGAAUCUUUGAACGCACAUUGCGCCCCUUGGUAUUCCAUGGGGCAUGCCUGUUCGAGCGUCAUUUGUACCUUCAAGCAAUGCUUGGUGUUGGGUGCUUGUCCGCCAGCGGACUCACCUAAAAGCUAUUGGCAGCCGCCGCAUAGGCAGCAGAGCGCAGCACAUUACCGCGUCUCUGCCCUCCGCGACGGCAUCCACAAGCCCUUUUCAACGUUUGACCUCGGAUCAGGUAGGGAUACCCGCUGAACUUAAGCAUAUCAAUAAGCGGAGGA